CCUUUGCUGUGCAAAAGAUUUUCAGUUUGAUGAGGUCCCAUGGGUUUAUUUUUGCUCUAAUUUCUAUUGCUUUGGGAGACUAGCCUGAGAAAAUAUUCAUGAUGUUGAUGUCAGAGAGUGUUUUGCCUAUGUUCUCUUCUAGGAGUUUGAUGGUGUCCUGUCUUAUAUUUAAGUCUUUCAGCCAUUUGGAGUUUAUUUUUGUGCAUGGUGUGAGGGUGUGUUCUAGUUUCAUUGCUUUGCAUGCAGCUGUCCAGGUUUCCCAGCAAUGCUUGCUGAAUAGACUUUCUUUUUCCCAUUUUAUGUUCUUGCCUCCGUUGUCAAAGAUUAAUUGACCAUAGGUGUCAGGGUUUAUUUCCAGAUUCUCUAUUCUGUUCCAUUGGUCUGUCUGUCUGUUUUGAUACCAGUACCACACUGUUUUGAUGACUGUGGCUUUGUAGUAUUUCUUGAAGUCUGGGAGAGUUAUGCCUCCUGCUUGGUUUUUGUUUCUCAGGAUUGCUUUGGUGAUUCUGGGUCUUUUGUGGUUCCAUAUAAAUGUUUGGAUUGUUUGUUCUAGUUCUGUGAAAAAUGUCAUGGGUAAUUUGAUAGGGAUUGCAUUGAAUCUGUAGAUUGCUUUGGGUAGUAUGGCCAUUUUUACAAUAUUGAUUUUCCCAAUCCAGGAACAUGGAAUAUCUUUCCAUUUCUUUACAUCUUCUUUGAUUUCUUUGAUUAAAGUUUUAUAGUUCUCGGCAUAUAGGUCCUUUACCUCCUUGGUCAGGUGUAUUCCGAAGUAUUUGAUUUUGUGAGGUGCAAUUUUAAAAGGUAUCGUGUUUUUGUAUUCCUUUUCUAAUAUUUCAUUGCUGGUAUACAGAAAUGCGACUGACUUCUGAAUGUUAAUCUUAUAUACUGCUACUUUGCUGAAUUUAUUAAUCAGUUCAAGUGGUUUUUGGGUUGAGUCCUUAGGGUUUUCUAUGUAUAGUAUCAUGUCCUGCUUUCAAGAUUUUCUCUUUAAUUUUGGUCAGUUUGAUUAAUAUGUGUCUCGGUGUGUUCCUCCUUGGGUUUAUUUUAUAUGGUACUUGUUGUGCUUCCUGAAUUUGAGUGAGUAAUUCCUUCCCCAUGUUAGGGAGGUUUUCGGCUGUUAUCUCUUUGAAUAUUUUUUCUGUCUCCUUCUCUCUCUUUCCUCUCCUUCUGGACCCCAUAAUACGGAUGUUGGUGCGUUUCAUGUUGUGCCAGAGUUCUCUGAGACUCUCUUCAUUUGUUUUCAAUCUUUUUUCUCUUCUCUGUUCUGCAUCUGUAAUUUCCACUAAUCUGUCCUCCACCUCGCUUAUUUGUUCUUCUGCCUCCUGUAUUCUGCUGUUAGCUGCUUCUAGUGAAUUUUUAAUUUCAGUUAUUGUAUUUUGCAUCUCUUCUUGUUUAAGUUUUAUAUCUUGUAUCUCUUUGGUCAGUGUUUCCUGUAAGUUAUCCAUCUUUGCCUCCAGUUUAUUUCCAAAGUCUUGCAUCAUCUUCAGCAUCAACAGUCUAAAGUCUUUUUCCUGGAGGCUGAGAAUCUCCUCAUGGCUUAGCUGUUUUUCUGGGGUUUUUCCUUUCUCCUUCAUCUGAGUUAUAGUCCUCUGUCUUUUCAUUUUUAUAGGUUUUUGGUGUGGUGACCUCCUUUCAGAUAAUAGAGUUGUAGCCUCUCUUACUUCUGAUGUCUGCCCCCCUGUGGCUGAAGUCAGUAUGGGGGCUUGGUGUAGGCUUCCUGAUGGGAGGGGCUGAUGCCUGCCCCCUGGUAGGAGGAGCCGAUUCUAAUCCCUCUUGUGGGUGGGGCUUAGUCUCUGGAUGGGAUUAGAGGCAGCUGUGUGCCUGAGGGGUCUUUAUGUAGUCUGUUUACUGAGGGGUAGGGCUGUGAUCCAACCUGGGUUGUUGUUUGCCCUGGGGCUUCUCAGCAGCUGACUGAAGGGUGGGUCCAGAUUUUCCCAAAAUGGCCACCUCCAGAGAAAGGCACUGCUGCUGAAUAUUCCCGAGAGCUUUGCUUUCAAUGUCCUUCCCUCAAAACAAGCCAUGUUCACCCCUGUUUUCCCAGGAUGUCCUCCAAGAACCGCGGUUAGGUUUGACCUAGAUUCCUUUGGAGACUUUGCUCUGCCCUGGGACCCAGUUCACGUGAAAGUCUGUGUGCGCCUUUUAAGAAUGGGGUCUCUGUUUCCCCCUCUCCCGUGGAGCUCUUUUUCACAAGCCCCACUGGCCUUCAAUGCCAGAUGCUCCAGGGCUCUUUCUCCAAGUGCCAGAUCCCCACACGUGAGAGUUUGAUGUGGGGCUCAGAACUCUCACUCCUGUAGGUGAGUCUCUGUGAACCAGUUAGUUUCCAGUCUGAGGAGCUUCCCACCCAGGAGGUAUGGGGUUGUUUAUAUAACGAAAUCACCCCCUCUUACCUCUUGAUGUGUCCUCCUCUUUUUUUUCUGGAGUAGGGUAUCUUUUUUAAGGUGUCCGGUCCAUUUUGGUGAAGAGUGCUCAGUCUUUAGUUGAGAAUUUUGUUGUUUUUAGGGGAGAAGUUGAG
rnacentral:lncRNA from 1 species